CAGCUAAAAGUCAUGCAGCCUACCACUACCUACGUCAACUGUCAACUGCGUGCAAUAUUUACCGAAAGUCACAGGCCAGAGAUAAGACAGCUAACCUGGCAGUGAAAUUAAGCAAUCAACAUUCCUUUUAAGGAACAGAUCGCACCCAGCCAUGCUGGUCUGACGCCACGUGUUCUGUUCUGGAGGAGU